rnacentral:rRNA from 1 species
GAUGAACGCUGGCGGCGUGCUUAACACAUGCAAGUCGAACGAACUAAGAGAGCUUGCUCUCUUAGUUAGUGGCGGACGGGUGAGUAACGCGUGGGUAACCUGCCCUAUGCAGGGGGAUAACGUUUGGAAACGAACGCUAAUACCGCAUAAUAAAGAAGAACUGCAUGGUUUUUCUUUCAAAGAUUUAUCGGCAUAGGAUGGACCCGCGUUGGAUUAGCUUGUUGGUGAGAUAACAGCCCACCAAGGCGAUGAUCCAUAGCCGGCCUGAGAGGGUGAACGGCCACACUGGGACUGAGACACGGCCCAGACUCCUACGGGAGGCAGCAGUGGGGAAUAUUGCACAAUGGGCGCAAGCCUGAUGCAGCGACGCCGCGUGAAGGAUGAAGGUCUUCGGAUUGUAAACUUCUAUCAGCAGGGAAGAAUAAAUGACGGUACCUGACUAAGAAGCACCGGCUAACUACGUGCCAGCCGCCGCGGUAA